AGAUAAUGAUGUAUCUUUAAGUAUUUUUUGUUGUUAAGAAAAUUUUGUACUUGUUUUACUGUUACGAAACAUUGACAAUGUUUCGGUUAAUGGCGUUUCUUAGAAACGAAGCCUUCCUAGUUUCGUUUAUGUUCGUUCUAUUAUAUAAUUCUGGAUCAGUUACAAGUUACGGUAUACGAUGUAAGUACUUAAUUAUAUUGAUAUUUGUUAAUUAUAAUCAAAUAAUUCAUAUAAUGUAUUAGCAUAUCUGUUAGGUAUCUGCUGAGAGUAUCUCUUUUGUAUUCUUGACUUUGCAUUUCCUCUAGACUUUACGCGGACAUCUAUAUUUUACGUAUGUCUUUCUGUAUUUAUUCGGAAAUUACACAAAUGCAACCUGAUAUCCGUCAAAGCUAAGUGAUAAUAUAUCCUCUUUAAAAGAGGGACGAAAGAUACCGAAGGGACAGUCAAACUCAUAAAUCGAAAACAAACUGACAACGCCAUGGCUAAAAAUGAAAAACACAAACAGAAAAACAACAGUACACAUGACACAACAUAGAAAACUAAAGAAUAAACAACACGAACCCCACCAAAAUAGGGGUGAUCUCAGGUGAUCCGAAGGGUGAGCAGAUCCUGCUCCACAUGUGCACCCGUCGUGUUGCUUAUGUGAUUAACAUUCGCUGAAACUACUGUAAAUAAAAGGAAAUAAAGCAAGUUUACUUUGGGUUUGUUUUGUUUUCAAGUUCUUUUUAGAAUCAAUUUACUAUUUUUUUUCUUUUCACUUCCCUUUUUUUCGGAAAGAAAACCAUGUAACACCCCUACAAAAUAAUUCUUUGCUAGGAACUAUUGCGGUUAUGGAAAGUUAUGCUCUACGAAAAAGGUAAAAUGUCGCAUUUUCAUUUCUAAACAAUUCGACAAUGUCAGGAGUUGUGCGUCAAAGAAACGUUUCAAAAAUGCUGGAGUGUUUUUAGAGUGGGUGGUUAAAAUAUGUUUCGUAGAAUAUACACUAGUGUUUUAUCUUUAUAAAAAAAAACGGUAUAUAUUAGUGUUGUCAAGGUUAACCGAUUAACCGGUCAACCAUUCAAACGACCGAAUACCGAAUAGCAAAAACGCUAACCGGUUAAUCGGACUUUUUUUCAAUUUUAGUAGAUUUGAUAUUGAAAUCAUUAUCAAAUAGGUAUGUUUUAUUUAAAAAUUGUCGUCGUGGUAAUUAAUAUGACAGAUCAAUUGUCCAGUAUAUUGAUUGCUAUUGUUAAUAAAAAAAAACAACAUAAAGUUAAUUAUAUAGAACUUGUCGAGUUCGGGGCAAGAUCUUAAUGAAACAUAAUUAGUGUACAUGUUUUUUAGCCGUUACUUUAAAUCAGUAAUAUGAUUAAAUUUUACGAUUUACUUCAUUAUUUUAUGUUGAAUCUAAUAUUGUAUAGACUUACAUCUAAAUGUGCAACCUCCGUCGUUCAAGCUAAGGCAUGGUCAUACUUUAAACGAAAUGCUAACUAAAAAAUUGUGAAAUGCAAACCAGUGUGAAUGAUAUUAAUAUAAACUUGAUAGUACGAGUAACACGUUUUUAAGUAAAAUAAUUUCAAAUUGAAAUACUCGACAUUUUUUUCGAAAACAUCAAGAGAAAAAAGAAAGUAUUUUUUUUUUUAUUUUUCGAUUUGAAAUUAGUACACACGCCAUAGCUGAUACGGUAUAUUUGAUUAUGAAUAGUCAAACUUCGCCAGGAAUCCUCACGGACAAGCUUUAUAAUGCCAAAAAAACAAACUUCAAUUCAUCGUUUAAUGAAAACGUAACUUCACACAUCAAAUAGUGAAUAAAUGUGAAUCUCUAACGGUAAUUUUUAUCUCAAUUAUCUCAACAGCCCUUAAAAGACUGAACUAAGUUACAAUGGAUUACAGAAUGAACAGUCACAUUUAAGAUAAACUCAUCAUAGAUACCAGGACUAAAUUUUGUAUAUACGCCAGACGCGCGUUUGUCUACAAAAGACGCUCGAAUCAAUAAAAGUUAAAAAGGCCGAAUAAAGUACGAAGUUGAAGAGCAUUGAGGACCAAAAUUCCUAAAAGUUUUAUCUUAUGUACAUGUAGUAGAUUCAGUACUGUUCAGAAUUUUCGUUUGCAGUCAAUAAAAAUAAGGUUAAAACUGACCAGUCUGUAUAUAUUUAUUAAGAAUAUUUGUAAUUUGUUGAACAUUUAAAAUCGUGGUUCCCUUGUAUCCACAAAAUCCAUGAUAUUGGUUUCACAAAUAUUGAUGAAUCCACAGUAACAAUUGUUUCGACUUUCAGAUUAUAUAAAGGUUAAAAUGGCUGUAUAAACAAUUGUCUUUAAGAAUGAUGAUUGUUUAAACAGGUGUUACUUUCCUCAAAAAUGUAGUGGAAAAUAGUUCUAAGUGGGUAUUUUCUACUUGUAAUACCAAUGCGUUAAUGAUCUAUUAUUUAUCAAUAUUAUAUUUAGUUGUCAAUAAUCAGCCAAAUUAUUUGAGAUCAUAAUCAAAAUUGCAUUUCUUGUAUACAAGUCAAGCAUCGGCAAAAUACAAUAAAAACAUAUUUAUAUAUUAUAUAUGUGCUCAUUAUAAUGCCGGAAAGCAUGGUAAGUGUAACCGUAAUUGGUAUACGGUAAAAAAUCAUUUAAAUUUUUGUUCCAGAUUGAUCAAACGUUUAUUAAAAUAAAUCUUAUUAUUUAUGUUACUUUAUCAGCUGUUUUCAGCCUUUUUUAUUACGCAUAUGAGAACAAUAUAUAUAUAUAAAUGUGCUCAAUCUGCCUGAGGCUAAAUGAAGUUGUCGUGAUAUAAAUAAACUCAUCAUAGAUACCAGAAUUAAAUUUAGUUUUUACGCCAUACGCACGUUUCGUAUACAAAAGACUCAUCAGUUUCGCUCCAAUCCAAAAAAAGGUUAAAAGACCAAAUAAAGUACCCAUUCACUUUACAUGAAGGUGACACUUCACACAUAUCUUUUUUGUUUUGAUUAUUUCAUAAACAAUAAUAUUUUGUCUAACUUUAAGUACAAGAAUCGCCAUUUGUGACAGAAGCAACAGGAACCCCAGGUGGAUUUGUAGGAGCAUGUGCUGCCUGCAGAGCUGUUUGUGAUUGCGCAUGUGUCAGACGAACCUGUACUGAUACAUCUUGUUGUGGAGAAGGAGGAUUUGCACCUGGUACAGCAAUAUCAUCUCUAGGUUAUAGACAGGAUAUCUUUGGAGAUCCCUGGUUCAGAUUCCUGUUAUCUUUACGACAAAAAUGGCGUAAUCAUGUCAAACAUGCUCAGUGGGGCUUAUUUGGAAACAAGAACUUACUUACACUUUAAAUUGCAAUUAAAGAAAGUACUAAG
rnacentral:lncRNA from 1 species